GACGGAGGAUGCAAGUGUUAUCCGGAAUCACUGGGCGUAAAGCGUCUGUAGGUGGUUUAAAAAGUCUAUUGUUAAAAAUUGAAGCUUAACUUCAAAGAUGCAAUGGAAACUUUUAAACUUGAGUAUGGUAGGGGUAGAGGGAAUUUCCAGUGGAGCGGUGAAAUGCGUAGAUAUUGGAAAGACCACCAAUGGCGAAGGCACUCUACUGGGCCAUUACUGACACUGAGAGACGAAAGCUAGGGGAGCGAAUGGGA
rnacentral:rRNA from 1 species